rnacentral:lncRNA from 1 species
AGAGUGGUGUGGGCUGGAAUCCUUACUGGAUGUCUUUUUCCUUUUGCCCUCAAGAGUCUUUGGGAGGCUCAGGAAGGGACUGGUGAGUGACCUCAGCAGCCCACCAGCAGGUAGCCAAGGGUCGCCCUCUCUUCAGCCCCUGAUGCCUCUUCCAGAAAAAACAAACCACAAAGCCAGCUGAAGAAAGUGGGGGGAAGGUUUCUGUUGCUGAGAUGAAACGCCAUGACCAAGAAGCAAGUUGAGGAGGAAAGGGUUUAUUCAGCUUACACUUCCAUACUGCUGUUCAUCACCAAAAGAGGUCAGGACUGGAGCUCCACCCAGGGCAGGAACCUGGAGGCAGGAGCUGAUGCAGAGGCCAUGGAGGGGCAUUGUUGACUGGCUUGCUCUUCAAGGGCACCAACUGUUCUGAUCUCUUGAAGAGCUCCUCAGGCAACCUUCUGUUUCUAGCAAGAUGAUACACCCAAGCCUUGAUGACAAGGCUUGGCUCUCAACCUCCUUGCUCCCCACCUCCUGUGAAAUACACAAAGAAAUUCAGUGAUCAUCGGGGAUGCUCUGGUCCAAACACUACCUGCCAGCCAGACGCAGGAGAUGGAUGGCUCAGCAGUAAUCGUGCUGCUUGAGCUUGGUGUCUAAUGGGGACAGUAGUGACAGGAAGUUCACAGGGACUGGAAGACAUGAGUUCUCUGAGGGAAAGGAAGGUGAAGCCUGGUGCUUAGGACCCUCAGGAGACCAUAGGAUGUGAGAAGGCUCAAGACACCCAGAGGUGGGGUCAGAAACAGGGCAAAGGAGACCAAGCAUGGGAGAGCUGCAGUGGACGUGUACAGACAGGAGAAGCAGGCCCUAAAGAAUCCCUGAGGCGGCAGAGAGGCUGGGCUGUGGAACUUUUUAAUUACUUUGCAUUAGGGGACUGUAGAGACCCAGAAGCCCACCCUUCCCCUCCCCUCAUCAGCUUAGCCCCAACAUAUGGUGGCUACCAAAGUAGUUAAAUCGGCUCUUGGUAGAAAAGGAAAGAGAUUCCUCCCAGGCUCUUCCCAGGGUCCACGGCCACACUCCAGGAGGGCUCAACUCCAGGGCAAGGCAGCUGGGACAGCAGGCAGCUGAAGGAGGACUAUUACUGCACCUUAGGGAAGAGUGCAGUGGCGAGUGGGGAGGACUCUGCUGGGACCCGGGGGUCAUGUGCAUUCCCAUUUAGUUGAGCUCUGCUUAAUCCGGGCCUAGGCUCACAGUAAUGGGGAACGAGGAGAGGCUCCCAUCAGAGACCAAGAAGAUGACAGACUCUCUGUAAAGGCUGUCAGAGGGGUCUGCAUGACCAACCACACCUGCUCCUGUUCCUUUGGGGCUCUUGUGACCUCCCUGUCUUCUUGUGAGAUCUUAUGUUCCUCCAACCCUGAGAGCUACAAACCAAUCUCCGGAAUAAAAAAAUCUGUCCCUCG